rnacentral:pre_miRNA from 1 species
AUUACUCACUCUCCCUCAAGGGCUUCUGUGAGUUUCUGGUUGAAAUACCAUACGGAGGACUUUAGAGAGAGUGGAUAAU